AUUGAACGCUGGCGGCAUGCCUUACACAUGCAAGUCGAACGGCAGCACGGGUGCUUGCACCUGGUGGCGAGUGGCGAACGGGUGAGUAAUACAUCGGAACGUACCUUAUCGUGGGGGAUAACGCAGCGAAAGCUGUGCUAAUACCGCAUACGCCCUGAGGGGGAAAGCGGGGGACCGCAAGACCUCGCGCGAUUAGAGCGGCCGAUGCCUGAUUAGCUUGUUGGUGGGGUAAAAGCCCACCAAGGCGACGAUCAGUAGCUGGUCUGAGAGGACGAUCAGCCACCCUGGGACUGAGACACGGCCCAGACUCCUACGGGAGGCAGCAGUGGGGAAUUUUGGACAAUGGGGGCAACCCUGAUCCAGCAAUGCCGCGUGAGUGAAGAAGGCCUUCGGGUUGUAAAGCUCUUUUGUCAGGGAAGAAACACCGGCUCUAACACAGUCCGGGAAUGACGGUACCUGAAGAAUAAGCACCGGCUAACUACGUGCCAGCCGCCGCAGUAA
rnacentral:rRNA from 1 species